CCUCUGAUGUUAAGUGCUGCCACGUGGCUUUUGCCGUUCCAGAAUCCCCCUGUUCCUACUGGAAUUAGAAAGCCUAGUUCCACGGUAACAUCUUCCAUUGUCAACUGGCCUUCAAAGAUGCCGGUGGACCUCUCACAAGGGAGAUCUCUAUUGCUCUACUGAGCGAACCAUUGUCUGUGUCCUCCAGAAGUACAGAGUCAGGUGAUAGGUUUUCAGGUCUUACGUGGCUGUGUGGAGAUCUGACCCUGGUUAUCAGCCUAUGAACAACAAGUUGAGUAGAAGAGGAUCUUAAGAAGACCGAGCUUCAUUCUGUGAGGCACUUGCUGCAGAAGCAGCAGGAGGCGACACAGGCGAGCUCUGGUCAGGAAGCAAGGCGAAUGACGGAGGCCUGGAGCGACCGGGGGCUUGACCAUGAAGGCAUUCUGUGGCUACAUUUUUACCUGCCCUCUCAGGGAGGAAUGAGGGCAUCUGGUUCUCAGAAAACAACUCCACGCCUCAUAUAUUAUGGAAGAGUAUGUAACGGGAACGGAUGACGGACCUGAGGGGAUUUCAGGGCUGGAAUGUGCUGGAUACGCCUUCGGUACUUCCUCAGACCCUCCUGACUUCACCUGCUUUAUCAGAGUCUGCUGGCUUCACCUGCAACUUGGGCCCCAAGCUGAGUGCUCUCUCUUGGUCAUCAUGCCUCCCUCUCAUAGGUUGAAACCCAGUCCCGCGUGUGAUGGCAUUUGGUGAUGAGGCCUUUGGGAGCCCUCACGAAUGGGACCAGCGCCCCAUAAAAAGAGAUGCCAGAGAGACGAUCUCUCUCUCCACAGCAAGAAGGUCACAGCAAGAAGGUGGCCAUCUGUAAACCAGGAGGGGGGGCGGUCAUCACCAGGAUGUGACCAUGCUGGCACCCUGAUCUUGGACUCCCCACCUUUCAAAACCAUGGGAAAUAAAUUCCUGUUGUUUAAGCCACC